rnacentral:rRNA from 1 species
CAGCCGCCACGGUAAUACGAAGGGGGCUAGCGUUGUUCGGAAUUACUGGGCGUAAAGCGCACGUAGGCGGAUCGAUCAAUCAGGGGUGAAAUCCCAGGGCUCAACCCUGGAACUGCCUUUGAUACUGUCGAUCUGGAGUAUGGAAGAGGUGAGUGGAAUUCCGAGUGUAGAGGUGAAAUUCGUAGAUAUUCGGAGGAACACCAGUGGCGAAGGCGGCUCACUGGUCCAUUACUGACGCUGAGGUGCGAAAGCGUGGGGAGCAAACAGGAUUAGAUACCCGAGUAGUCCCUGUCUCUUAUAC